CCAGACUCCUACGGGAGGCAGCAGUGAGGAAUAUUGGUCAAUGGGCGCAAGCCUGAACCAGCCAAGUCGCGUGAGGGAAGACGGCCCUACGGGUUGUAAACCUCUUUUGCCGGGGAGCAAGCCUGAGCACGUGUGCCCAGGCGGAGAGUACCCGGAGAAAAAGCAUCGGCUAACUCCGUGCCAGCAGCCGCGGUAAUACGGAGGAUGCGAGCGUUAUCCGGAUUUAUUGGGUUUAAAGGGUGCGUAGGCGGACGCUUAAGUCAGCGGUAAAAUCGCGGGGCUCAACCUCGCUCCGCCGUUGAAACUGGCAGUCUCGAGUUGGAGAGAAGUAUGCGGAAUGCGCGGUGUAGCGGUGAAAUGCAUAGAUAUCGCGCAGAACUCCGAUUGCGAAGGCAGCAUGCUGGCUCCACACUGACGCUGAGGCACGAAAGCGUGGGUAUCGAACAGGAUUAGAUACCCUUGUAC
rnacentral:rRNA from 1 species